rnacentral:rRNA from 1 species
AUUGAACGCUGGCGGCAGGCUUAACACAAGCAAGUCGAGCGGGGACUUCGGUCCUAGCGGCGAACGGGUGAGGAAUGCUUGGGAAUCUGCCUUGUAGUGGGGGAUAACGUUUCGAAAGGAACGCUAAUACCGCAUACGUCCUACGGGAGAAAGGGGGGGAUCUUCGGACCUCUCGCUAUAAGAUGAGCCCAAGUCGGAUUAGCUAGUUGGUGGGGUAAAGGCUCACCAAGGCGACGAUCCGUAGCUGGUCUGAGAGGAUGAUCAGCCACACUGGACACGAGACACGGUCCAGACUCCUACGGGAGGCAGCAGUGGGGAAUAUUGGACAAUGGGCGAAAGCCUGAUCCAGCCAUGCCGCGUGUGUGAAGAAGGCCUUCGGGUUGUAAAGCACUUUAAGCGAGGAGGAAUGGCUCUGGGUUAAUACCCUUGAGCAGUGACGUUACUCGCAGAAUAAGCACCGGCUAACUCUGUGCCAGCAGCCGCGGUAACAC